AUAAAGGUAUAAAUAUGACUUUAUAGCCAAAAUUCAUUUAGGGUUUUCUUUUGGGGAAAAGAUGAGAACAUAAGCUCUCCUUUCUCUCUAAAGUGGUCGGCCUCCUUGGAGGGUUUAGCUAGCAAUCCUACUAUUCUAAGGUCACUCAUUUCUUCUCCAAUCUAACCUUGGUGAAGAAACUUAGAGGUUCUCAAUUUUGGGAACUUGGAGAACCAUUUCAUCCAUCCAAAUCCAUAGAUCUA
rnacentral:lncRNA from 1 species